AUCUUUACAAUUCAUGAUGAAUUAGAAUUGGAUAUCAACGUACGAUGCUCAACCUAUACUCAACACAAUGAUCAACUAUAAACUCUGUUGAAAUGAUGUUUGAGUAUAGCAACCACUGUGUUAUGGUGAGAGUAAUGAUAAGGGUUAUAGUGGUUAUAGUGGUAAUCGGCGGUUAUAGUGGUUAUAGGGGUUAUAGUGGUAAUAAGGGUUAUAGUGGUUAUAGU
rnacentral:lncRNA from 1 species